AUUGAACGCUGGCGGCAUGCUUUUUUCAUGCAAGUCGAACGGUAACAGGUUAAGCUGACGAGUGGCGAACGGGUGAGUAAUGCAUCGGAACGUGCCCGGUCGUGGGGGAUAACGCAGCGAAAGCUGCGCUAAUACCGCAUACGAUCUAUGGAUGAAAGCGGGGGACCGUAAGGCCUCGCGCGAUUGGAGCGGCCGAUGUCAGAUUAGGUAGUUGGUGGGGUAAAGGCUCACCAAGCCAACGAUCUGUAGCUGGUCUGAGAGGACGACCAGCCACACUGGGACUGAGACACGGCCCAGACUCCUACGGGAGGCAGCAGUGGGGAAUUUUGGACAAUGGGCGCAAGCCUGAUCCAGCAAUGCCGCGUGCAGGAAGAAGGCCUUCGGGUUGUAAACUGCUUUUGUACGGAACGAAACGGCGAGCUCUAAUACAGUUUGCUAAUGACGGUACCGUAAGAAUAAGCACCGGCUAACUACGUGCCAGCCGCCGCAGUAA
rnacentral:rRNA from 1 species